AUUGAACGCUGGCGGCAGGCUUAACACAUGCAAGUCGAGCGGUAACAGAGAGAAGCUUGCUUCUCUGCUGACGAGCGGCGGACGGGUGAGUAAUGCCUAGGAAUCUGCCUAGUAGUGGGGGAUAACUUGCCGAAAGGUAAGCUAAUACCGCAUACGUCCUACGGGAGAAAGGAGGGGACCUUCGGGCCUUUCGCUAUUAGAUGAGCCUAGGUCGGAUUAGUUAGUUGGUGAGGUAAUGGCUCACCAAGACCGCGAUCCGUAACUGGUCUGAGAGGAUGAUCCGUCACACUGGAACUGAGACACGGUACAGACUCCUACGGGAGGCAGCAGUGGGGAAUAUUGGACAAUGGGGGGAACCCUGAUCCAGCCAUGCCGCGUGUGUGAAGAAGGUCUUAGAAUUGUAAAGCACUUUAAGUUGGGAGGAAGAGCAGUUAACUAAUAUUUGACUGUUUUGACGUUACCGACAGAAUAAGCACCGGCUAACUUCGUGCCAGCCGCCGCCGUAA
rnacentral:rRNA from 1 species